GACGAACGCUGGCGGCGUGCCUAAUACAUGCAAGUAGAACGCUGAAGAGAGGAGCUUGCUCUUCUUGGAUGAGUUGCGAACGGGUGAGUAACGCGUAGGUAACCUGCCUUGUAGCGGGGGAUAACUAUUGGAAACGAUAGCUAAUACCGCAUAACAAUGGAUGACACAUGUCAUUUAUUUGAAAGGGGCAAUUGCUCCACUACAAGAUGGACCUGCGUUGUAUUAGCUAGUAGGUGAGGUAAUGGCUCACCUAGGCGACGAUACAUAGCCGACCUGAGAGGGUGAUCGGCCACACUGGGACUGAGACACGGCCCAGACUCCUACGGGAGGCAGCAGUAGGGAAUCUUCGGCAAUGGGGGCAACCCUGACCGAGCAACGCCGCGUGAGUGAAGAAGGUUUUCGGAUCGUAAAGCUCUGUUGUAAGUCAAGAACGGGUGUGAGAGUGGAAAGUUCACACUGUGACGGUAGCUUACCAGAAAGGGACGGCUAACUACGUGCCAGCAGCCGCGGUAAUACGUAGGUCCCGAGCGUUGUCCGGAUUUAUUGGGCGUAAAGCGAGCGCAGCGGUUUGAUAAGUCUGAAGUUAAGGCUGUGGCUCAACCAUAGUUCGCUUUGGAAACUGUCAAACUUGAGUGCAGAAGGGGAGAGUGGAAUUCCAUGUGUAGCGGUGAAAUGCGUAGAUAUAUGGAGGAACACCGGUGGCGAAAGCGGCUCUCUGGUCUGUAACUGACGCUGAGGCUCGAAAGCGUGGGGAGCGAACAGGAUUAGAUACCCUGGUAGUCCACGCCGUAAACGAUGAGUGCUAGGUGUUGGAUCCUUUCCGGGAUUCAGUGCCGCAGCUAACGCAUUAAGCACUCCGCCUGGGGAGUACGACCGCAAGGUUGAAACUCAAAGGAAUUGACGGGGGCCCGCACAAGCGGUGGAGCAUGUGGUUUAAUUCGAGGCAACGCGAAGAACCUUACCAGGUCUUGACAUCCCGAUGCUAUUUCUAGAGAUAGAAAGUUACUUCGGUACAUCGGUGACAGGUGGUGCAUGGUUGUCGUCAGCUCGUGUCGUGAGAUGUUGGGUUAAGUCCCGCAACGAGCGCAACCCCUAUUGUCAGUUGCCAUCAUUCAGUUGGGCACUCUAGCGAGACUGCCGGUAAUAAACCGGAGGAAGGUGGGGAUGACGUCAAAUCAUCAUGCCCCUUAUGACCUGGGCUACACACGUGCUACAAUGGUUGGUACAACGAGUUGCGAGUCGGUGACGGCGAGCUAAUCUCUUAAAGCCAAUCUCAGUUCGGAUUGUAGGCUGCAACUCGCCUACAUGAAGUCGGAAUCGCUAGUAAUCGCGGAUCAGCACGCCGCGGUGAAUACGUUCCCGGGCCU
rnacentral:rRNA from 1 species